rnacentral:lncRNA from 1 species
AGGCUGUCCUCCUAUUGCUCUUACUUUAUGAUGUGUCUAUCUGCAGCACAUCUAGAACUUGGUCUAGACAGCUUGGCUAAAUUAUAAGUCUUGGAAAUAGGAUCUCAUAAGGAGGUGUACUGGACAAACAUAACUAUUCCUUUGACUAGAAGGAUAUGACAGGUGAUAUCGGACUCCAGGGAAGUCCCAGCUGUGCCAUUGUACCCUUCAUGAGUAAGCAGUGCUGGGGCUGUGCAACUAUCAUCCCUCACCCUUUUGGGCCUGAUGACUGCUGCCCAGGAGCAGAGCAAGCUUCCUCCCCACUGGGAAACGAUCUGCACAGAGUUAGUGAUGGGAUAUUCUGGUCAGAGGAAAUCGCACCACAGGAAAUCUCAUCAGAGUGACCACUAUCAGUCACGGCACAUGCAGUGUCUUCAGGCUCUUUACUUGACAACCAAGUAUGGGUAUACCACAUUGAUUUUCAUGAAGAAGUGAGGACAUCUUCUGUAAUGAGGACAGGCCUCUGGAAGUGGUGUAGUAUUUUCCUUUCUGCUUUCUUUACUAUUCAAUCUCUGGAGAGCCUGUGCAGAUAAAAUGGGAAAGAAAUAUUUUUCCUUGUCACUGUCUUGGAUCUGGCUUAUGAGACUUUCUGAUUCUUUAGUGGAGGAGCAGUGGCAGACCGAUAGGAGAAAGACUG